UACGAAGGGGGCUAGCGUUGUUCGGAUUUACUGGGCGUAAAGCGCACGUAGGCGGAUAUUUAAGUCAGGGGUGAAAUCCCGGGGCUCAACCCCGGAACUGCCUUUGAUACUGGGUAUCUUUGAGUCCGGAAGAGGUGAGUGGAAUUCCGAGUGUAGAGGUGAAAUUCGUAGAUAUUCGGAGGAACACCAGUGGCGAAGGCGGCUCACUGGUCCGGUACUGACGCUGAGGUGCGAAAGCGUGGGGGGCAAACAGG
rnacentral:rRNA from 1 species